rnacentral:rRNA from 14 species
UCUCAUACGGUAAAGCGAAUGAUUAGAGGACAUUGGGGCCGAAACGACCUCAACCUAUUCUCAAACUAUAAAUGAGUGAGA